GAUGAACGCUAGCGGCAGGCCUAACACAUGCAAGUCGAGGGAGGAGCUUUCGGGCUUCGACCGGCGUACGGGUGCGUAACGCGUAUACAAUCUGCCUUUCACAUAGGGAUAGCCCGAAGAAAUUUGGAUUAAUACCUAAUGGUAUAUAGGGGUGGCAUCACAUUUAUAUUAAAGCUGAGGCGGUGAAAGAUGAGUAUGCGUUCUAUUAGCUAGUUGGAGAGGUAACGGCUCCCCAAGGCGACGAUAGAUAGGGGUUCUGAGAGGGAUAUCCCCCACACUGGUACUGAGAUACGGACCAGACUCCUACGGGAGGCAGCAGUGAGGAAUAUUGGACAAUGGUCGGAAGACUGAUCCAGCCAUGCCGCGUGCAGGAAGACGGCCUUAUGGGUUGUAAACUGCUUUUGCAGGGGAAGAAUAAGGACUACGAGUAGUUUGAUGACGGUACUCUGCGAAUAAGCAUCGGCUAACUCCGUG
rnacentral:rRNA from 1 species